GUACAAGAGCAAUGUAUCUAAAUUAUCAAACCCACCAAUGAAUCAAAAUGGGGUGUUGAAAAAUCAAUGAAAUACCAUAACUUUAGUUGAACUAAGUAGUGGAUAAUAGAUGGAAAAAUAGAUAGGUAACUUAGGAGGAGCUGUGUUCCUUUUUUGCGUCUAAAUUAUCAACAUGAUCCACAAGUGCUUUGGUUAGAAACUGAUCCGUAAAAUUACAUCUCUUAAUUAUUUAAUGGCUAGAUUUAUUUCAGUGUUGUUAAAGUUUAUUAGACAUAAUAGUUUAUCGUCUUUGUUAAUAAUACUUCUAAUUGCUGCCAUCUUACACAGUUACGCAUCAACAGGUGCUACUGGAAAGCUAUACGUUUUGGGGGUAAUAUAUGAAUUGGAGAUAGAAGGAUUAGAAAAAGUAACAUUUUUGUAGUAGCUCUAUAGUCUUCUAUUUAUUUGUUAGUCUCAUGGACUGUUUGUUGAAGAAUGAACAACGCCUUGGCAUCUUUCUUCUUGAUUUCUUUCAGAUUCUCCUCCUCCUCUUCAUUGGGUUCAAAUAUUUCUAUGAACCCAUACUCCACCAAGUCUCAUAGCUCCUGCAUUUUGAACAAUGUCUUCACCUUGAUGCUCCACCACUCAUACUUCUCACCAUUAAAUUUGAGCAAUUCAUCUUUGCUGCAGCUGAUGUAGAACCUGUGAGUGGAUUUUCAAAUUCUCAAAAGCCUUCCAAAAAAAAAAGUCUUGUAAGGUACGUGCAAUCUCAAAUAAGAGCAAGAAAAAAGAUACAUCAUCUGAAUCUGAAGAUAGCAAGGUAAAUAGUAACGAGGAGAGUGACGACUAUGAAGAACAAUAUAGCGAAUAACUAGGUCUUCCAGCAAAGGUCAAGGAAAAGAUGCUGCGAAAGCUACAGCAACUAAAAAGGGCAAGGGCCAUGGAAUUGACCUCCAUCGGCAGAUAAAAGCCCCCAUUGAAGGGAAAAUAUCGACUUUGGUCCUUUGGCAUGCAACUAUUUCCAUUCAAUUGGGAACUACCAGUGACGCCUGUCAACGACAGUUCUGCUAUAUCUUCAGCUAACGACAACCAAAAAUAUAAGUGACAAAGCGAAAACUUGCUAUAUCUUCAGCUAGCAAACAGCCAAAAAUAUAAGUGCCAAAGCGAAAACUGGAGUAUUGCCUGCUUUGUCGGCGAAUUCAAUUGUAAAUUGUAGUGUUGGUCUUGACAGAUAGAAUCAUGAGUCCUCACAACAUAUGACAUUAGCGGCGAAUUCAUUUGUACAUUGUAGUGUUGGACUUGACAGAUACAAUCAUGAUUCCUCACAACAUAUAACAUUAGCGGCGUGUUAUGGUAUAAAUUGCGCACAUACUAAUGAUUUUGAUA